AUUGAACGCUGGCGGCAGGCCUAACACAUGCAAGUCGAAUGGUAACAGGAAACAGCUUGCUGUUUCGCUGACGAGUGGCGGACGGGUGAGUAAUGUCUGGGAAACUGCCUGAUGGAGGGGGAUAACUACUGGAAACGGUAGCUAAUACCGCAUAACGUCGCAAGACCAAAGAGGGGGACCUUCGGGCCUCUUGCCAUCAGAUGUGCCCAGAUGGGAUUAGCUAGUAGGUGGGGUAACGGCUCACCUAGGCGACGAUCCCUAGCUGGUCUGAGAGGAUGACCAGCCACACUGGAACUGAGACACGGUCCAGACUCCUACGGGAGGCAGCAGUGGGGAAUAUUGCAUAAUGGGCGCAAGCCUGAUGCAGCCAUGCCGCGUGUAUGAAGAAGGCCUUCGGGUUGUAAAGUACUUUCAGCGGGGAGGAAGGGAGUAAAGUUAAUACCUUUGCUCAUUGACGUUACCCGCAGAAGAAGCACCGGCUAACUCCGUG
rnacentral:rRNA from 1 species